UACGGGGGGGGGCAAGCGUUGUUCGGAAUUACUGGGCGUAAAGGGCUCGUAGGCGGCCAACUAAGUCGGACGUGAAAUCCCCAGGCUUAACUUGGGAACUGCGUCCGAUACUGGAUGGCUUGAAUCCGGGAGAGGGAUGCGGAAUUCCAGGUGUAGCGGUGAAAUGCGUAGAUAUCCGGAGGAACACCGGUGGCGAAGGCGGCUUCCUGGACCGACACUGACGCUGAGGCGCGAAAGCCAGGGGAGCAAACGGG
rnacentral:rRNA from 1 species